rnacentral:rRNA from 1 species
AACCUCCGCAAUGUACGAAAGUGCGACGGGGGGAUCCCAAGUGUUAUGCUUUUUUGUAUAACUUUUCAUUAGUGUAAAAAGCUUUUAGAAUAAGAGCUGGGCAAGACCGGUGCCAGCCGCCGCGGUAACACCGGCAGCUCGAGUGGUAGCUGUUUUUAUUGGGCCUAAAGCGUCCGUAGCCGGUUUAAUAAGUCUCUGGUGAAAUCCUGUAGCUUAACUGUGGGAAUUGCUGGAGAUACUAUUAGACUUGAGACCGGGAGAGGUUAGAGGUACUCCCAGGGUAGAGGUGAAAUUCUGUAAUCCUGGGAGGACCGCCUGUUGCGAAGGCGUCUAACUGGAACGGUUCUGACGGUGAGGGACGAAAGUUAGGGGCGCGAACCGGAUUAGAUACCCGGGUAGUCCUAACUGUAAACGAUGCGGACUUGGUGUUGGGGUGGCUUUGAGCUGCUCCAGUGCCGAAGGGAAGCUGUUAAGUCCGCCGCCUGGGAAGUACGGUCGCAAGACUGAAACUUAAAGGAAUU